CAGCAGCCGCGGGAAUACGUAGGUCCCGAGCGUUGUCCGGAUUUAUUGGGCGUGAAGCGAGCGCAGGCGGUUAGAUAAGCCUGAAGUUAAAGGCUGUGGCUUAACCAUAGUACGCUUUGGAAACUGUUUAACUUGAGUGCAAGAGGGGAGAGUGGAAUUCCAUGUGUAGCGGUGAAAUGCGUAGAUAUAUGGAGGAACACCGGUGGCGAAAGCGGCUCUCUGGCUUGUAACUGACGCUGAGGCUCGAAAGCGUGGGGAGCAAACAGGAUUAGAUACCCCAGUAGUCCCUGUCUCUUAUACC
rnacentral:rRNA from 1 species